CGCUGAAACAUCCCUUCCCUUACGAAUCACUGAAGUUAAGCAACGUCGAGCCUGGUUAGUACCGAUAUGGGUAACUGCUUGAGAAUACUAGGUGCU